AAUCACCUCCUUUGUGCCAGGGUCUUUCAUAUACAUUAUCUCACUGAAUUACUUACAAGAUUCUUAUGAAGUAGAUUAGUGGUUCUCACAUUUUAAUGGACAUGUGAAUCACCUGGGGAUCUUGUUAAAAUGCAGAUUCUGAUUUUGCAAGUCUGAGAUGGGCUCAAGAUUAUGCAUCUCUAAAAAGCUUCCAGCCAGCACAGUGGCCCACGCCUGUAAUCCCAGCAUUUUGGGAGACUGAGGCUGGUGAACAUUGUCACCCUAAAGAAGUGAUAAAUGUUGAAAGUGAUGGAUAUGAUUUAUUGCCAAACCCUGUGCACUCCGUAUUGGCAUCGAGGACAGUGGUCCUUAUCAGGCCCAACCCAAUGCCAUCCUUGAAAAGGUGUUCAUAUCUAUUACCAAGUAUCCUGAUAAGAAAAGGCUGGAGGGCCUGUCAAAGCAGCUGGAUUGGAAUGUCCGAAAAAUCCAAUGCUGGUUUCGCCAUCGGAGGAAUCAGGACAAGCCCCCAACGCUUACUAAAUUCUGUGAAAGCAUGUGGAGAUUCACAUUUUAUUUAUGUAUAUUC
rnacentral:sRNA from 1 species